rnacentral:lncRNA from 1 species
GAGCCUGGAGUCCCCGGGCGGUGCCUGCCUGCCCGGCGGCAGGACUCGGUGUGACCCUGCGGACCCUCCCCCAGGGCCCUGCAUCCUGCCCACAGGCAUCAGCGCUCCUGCGUGCUGAGAAUCAGAGCUGUGUGGUGAUCCUCAGGACCGACUUGGGGAGACGCCACCCGUCUUCGGGACACCUGGGCCAUGUGAGGAAAGGUGAGGUGCGGGCAACACUUCGCUUCCUGUUGGCCCCCAGGGCUGGGAAGGGAACUCUGCAUAACUUUGCUGCCUCCUGCAAUAUUUUAGCAAGAAGUAUUUUGCCAAAGAAAGGAGAAAUGCUACCAUGCAACAUUGGGAAGUCCAGGGGAAAGUUGGGUGGGUGCUGAGUACCACCAGCACCCAGCGAAAAGCUCAGUGUGCACCUGUCUCCUGGUUCUGUUAAUGUUUUAGUGGUUCAUUUUUCUUAGCGUGUAAAAGUAGUUGAAACAAUAUUGAAAAAUUGAAAAGUACAGAUGUUAAAAUUUGUCACAAUAGCUAAGUUUGAAUAUAUUAUUUGCACCCAAAGUAGAAUUUAUUAAGAAUUUAUAUUAUUUCUUUCAUGGAAGUAAACUUGUCAACAUUUUUUUUCUUUCAUUGAGAAAGUCACAGUUUAAUUGGUGGUGGCAGUAUAUUUGUAAUGGAACAUAAAACAAUGUCUGUUUUACAAAUAUUAAAAUUAAACAUUGGAUGAAAUAUAUUAACUGUAAGAAGCUUUGAUUUAAAUAACAAGGUGAAGAAAGUCACCUUUUUCAUUUUUUUAAGACUUGACCAUUUUAAAUAAAAUCAGAAUUUGCUAAAGGUCCGUUUAUACUCAGCUAUGAGCCCACAUGGCCCUGGGCCUUUUCCAGUAGAAGAUCUCUUGGCAGCAUUGCAAGCCUUUCUAUCCUGAUUGGUCUAUUUAUGUUUUCCUCAUCUUAGAGUUCAUUUUAAUAUUGUGUAUUUUUACUAGGAAAUAACCCGCUACCUCUAGGUUUGGAUGCAACUGGUUUCUUAUUUGACUUUUAAUUUCCUCUUUCUAGUUUUCUACAUACUCUUCAUUCUAUAUAUUUCUUCUUCUUUCUUUUAAAUUGACCUUUAAAAUAUACCCAUUAGCUUCUUUUUGUUUUGUUAUUUUGUGGUGCUGGGGAUUGGACCCAGGGCUUUGUGCAUGGGAGGCAAGCACUCUACCAAGAGCUAUAUCCCCAGCCUCCUUAGCUUCUUUUUGAUGGAAAGAAUUCUGAUAAUGUCCACUUUAUCCGUUUUUUUUCUUCCUUCUUUUGCCACCGGAGAUUCUGGUGACAAAUCCAAAGUCUUUAAGAUUUGCUCCUGUAUUGUUUUCUGAGUUUAGUUCUAGCUCUUAAAUUUAGUUUUUAUCUUUGUUAGGUUUGUAUUUUAUAUCAUGUUUGGGUCCAGAUUCAUUAAUUCUUCCCUCCCUCCUUCUCUCCCUUUCUUCCUUCCUCUAUAAUUUUUCAUCUCUGUGUGUUCCAGUUGGUAGAUAAUCUUAUAUUGUUUCUUGUAGGGGAUUUUUUAUUCUUUUCCAAAUAAAAUCGAGGAAUAACAGCAAGGACAUAUUUUCUUUAUGAAAUCUUGUAAAAUUCCACCUAAGGUGGAGUCACUUCGGUUAGGGAGCGAACAUUCCAGAACUGAGCCAUCUGUCUGCACCCAGGCUGCAGCGCGGAACCCAGACUGACCAGUCAGCUGCACUGGGGGCUUCGCGGCUCCCCUGCCCCUGCCCUGGUGGCUCUAGGCAUGUGUUAUCCCCCGCCCUUUGUUCCCAGUCAGGAACACACUUUCUCGGCUUUACUGGAAUUGUGUCUUGGAACCUCAGUUCUUAAGAACCCAGAUAAAAGCUUUUUUUUUUUUUUUUCUUUUUACAGCCUUGAUGUCGAUUAUUGACCAUGCUUUGAGAAUUCUUCAAGGUUAUAAAACACAUUCUGGCCUGUGAAACUCUCCAAGUGGGACAAUGUCAUUGUCAUCAGCAGUCAUACAGGGCCCUCUGGUGGCAUAACGAGAAAAUGGCACGUGUGCUAAGAUUCCCUGUUUUGUGGGCGCCUUCUAGGGGAAGUCCUCGCUCGGGGACUGGAGCUGGGCUCCUGUGUGUGUAGGUUAUGCUCCUGAGCGAGCCAGAGGAUCAGGCAGGGCGCCAGCGUGAUGUGCCGCCUACCUCCUAGCGGGCGAUGAUGGCUGCUGCGAAUGGAAUCCUGCCUUAAAGACAAAUGCUUUGCCCAGUGGGUCCUUUUCUCUGUUCUUACCACCGUGCAGAGAUGAGUGAAAUCAGCCCUUGUCCUCAGGCUAGCCUCAGAGCCAGAGGGUCACACCUUAUGUUGAGACAAAGACCAGGGAUUACUGCCGCCAGAGAGACAGAAUGAGUGCACUGAAGGGGCCUGGAGGGGACACCGAGAACCAGAAAGAGACUGGAGUGGAGCCAGCUGUCUCACAAGAGAUCCCCGCAGGAGGCUUCCCUGAAGCACAGGAAAUUCAGGAAAUCCGAACCCCCUUGGAAAUCCCAGACCUGCAAGGUAACAACCGGUUAGAGAGGAAGGUAUUAAAGGAAAGAAUUCCACCAUGAGGCGAGGAGGAGGAGGGAAUUUCGGGGAGAAGGAAUGGCAGGAGCAGAUGUCAAGAGAGCAGAGGACAGAGGUUUGUGGAUCUCCUCUGUGGCCUCAGCAGAUGGAAUAGUGACAGAAGGGCUCUCAUAGGGACCCAGGGGACAGCAAAGGGCAUGAAAGGAGCCUUGUGUCUGUCCCAUAGGCUGCCAGCUUUAAACAGCUAUCCUUGGAUGUGGUGGAUUUAGUGUAUUCAUGGCUGUUUUCAAAGUGACAAAGGCUGGGUCGCACCAUUUGGGGACCAAGUGGGUUCACAGUCCAUCUUGUCUUUAGGGACUUGUUGCCUGCUCGCUGGGUGCCAGCAGAUUCUCCCUGACCUGACUCAUUCAGCCGGGGCAGUUCCAGGCUCAGGUUCCUCCCUCUGGGUGGCACCUGGAUUUCUCAGGGUCUGGAGUGAAGCCCCACAAGUCUAUGAACAGGCUCUCCUGGGGUGAUGCUCAGGGGCUUUGGCUCCUCCAUCCUCUUGGGCCAUACAGAAGUAGCUCAUGUUAUUUUUCAAAUGCAAAAACCUGUGAGCACCCUUUGAAUCCCAUUCAAAGGCUAGUGAAUUAUGUUUCAAUGUAUCUCCUUUCAGUGAUCUAGGUACGUUCUCAAAAUUCAGCCCACAGUUCCCUCAUAUCUGCCCUUUAAAUAUGAAACAAAUAUGUGAUGUGGUUUCUUAGUAUGGAAGGACAUCACUCGCAAGAGUGUCCUCAUUGGUUAUUCUGUCUCAGAAUAGAUUAUUAACUUCGAAUAGUGUUCCCUUGAUUUAGGUGGUUUGGUUUCCUUUUAGUGUAGAAGUAGUAAAGGAAUGGAAUUCCCCCCCCCCUUAAAUCUUUAACCUAAAAUAAAACUUUAAAACUUAUUAUUUCUUGUUUGAAGAAUUCACUAUCUCUCAAUUGUAGCAAAAUGACUCAAAAGCAAGCAUGAAUACCAUAUUUCAUCAAAUCUAUCUCUUCAGCAAUCGUAAGAACAUUAUUUUAUCUAAGAACAUUAUUUUAAGUUUAUUUAAGACCAUUAUUUUCUUUGAAAAACAAACUUGAUUUUAGAAGAGUUUAGGAGAGUUUCGGGUUUACAGAAGCCAGUAUAUUUUAGUCGUUGAAGUUGUUAUUGUACGUUUAUUGGCCAACCUCUUGUAGACUUUGGAUGUGGACUUGGAAAUCUAUUUCCCUCUUCUGUAUAUAUGAAAGAUAAAAUAUAAGCAAACUAAAUGGAGGCAUUUCUAAACCUUCUCAGUGCUCAGUGCCCAGCUUUUGUGAAUCACAGUCACUGAUGUCCCUUUUCUUUUUUUCUGUACUGCAUGCCCUGGAGAAAGCUGGGGAUGUCUCAGCUCUCAAAACCCCACCCCCUUCAUUCUACCUGUGGGAUUGGGAUUCUUGGUUUCUGCUCCUUCUGAAAGUUUUUAUAAAUCAGUUUUAUAGGCUUGUCCUUUGGAGGUCUAAUCCCUGUCCCUUCUUGGUGGGGAGGGAGAGUGAAGGACACAAUACUACUUUUGGUAGACCAGUGUCUUCCUGGAGCCUGCAAACAGAUGUGGCCUUGACAACACCUUGAUUUUAGACCAAUGAGAGCUAUGCUUCAAAAGUAUUAAAUGGAAAAAUUCCAGAAAUAAAUAAUUAAUAAGCUUUAAACCGUGCGCUCUUUUGAAUGGCAAGAUAAAAUUUUAGACUGUCCCACUCUGUCCUGCCCAGGACAGGGAUCAUCCCUUUGUCCAACCUAUCCAUCCUGUAUAUGCUACUCUCCUGUUAGCCAUCUCAUAAGCAUCUUGGUUGUCAGAUUGACUGUCACAGCAGUGCAGUGCUUGUGAUCAAGUGACCCUUACAUAGUAGCCUAAUGGAAUGUCAUGAUGCCUGCCUCAUUCAGGUCACUUCAUCUCAGCACACAGGAGGCACAUCAGCUCAUCACCACAGGAAGGGUGAGCACCACACAAUCAGGCAUUCUAAGAGAGAGACCACAUUACCCAACUUUUAUUGCAAUAUAUUAUUAUAAUUGCUGUAUUUCAUAAUUAUUGCUAUUAUGUAAUUAUCAUUGGUGUUAAUAGUUAUUGUCUCUUCCCAUGUGUAAUUUGUCAAUUAACCUUAUCAUAAGUGUGUAGACAAAAGCACCACGUCUACGGGUUCAUUGUGCUCUGGGGCCUCCCCUGGGGUCUUGGAACAUGUCCUCCAUUAAUAAGUGGGGGCUGCUAUCUGCAUCCAGUGUGGCGUGGAGGGGCAGGAAGAAGAAACAAAACCCAGUUCCCAUGGCGUUUCAUUCUGGGUCAGGGAGAAUCCAUGCUUAAAACAUGUCUAUGUGCUAUGAAUACAAGUAAGGUAGGGUGCUCAGCGGUGAGAGGGACAGGAGUGCCCCACCGAAGAUGGGACCAGGGGCUGGUUUACACCUGUGCAGAGUGUAAAUGACAGAACCCAGAACAGCCUGCGGGCAGCUGGCUGAGGGCGGAUAGUGAUCUCAGUGGCCUAGGGCUCGUGGUCAAGGGAGCUUCCUUGUGAGGAACUUCUCCAGGCUUCUCUUCUGCGGGUGGGUGGUGACCAGAGAACUGGGUGGCUGCGUCCUCGUUGCCCAGCGCUGCCUAGAGUACCGUCAGUGGCCCGUUUUCCCUUGCUCCUGUUGCUUGGCAUGAAACUUUGAAUUCCAGAACAUUCUAUUUGUGCUUUCUAUCUUUUAAAUCCCUCUUGAAAAAUAAGAAGACAGGUUUCGUACAGCCAAGCCCCGAGUAUUGUUCCCACUGUGAGCAGGCGUGCUGGGGACAGUGAGACUCUGGACACCGUCCCUUCAUCCUCAGCGGACUUCAGUUUACGUUUUGUUUCACUGUUUAAAAUAUGACACAGCAGAAGACUACGAUUAAAGACUCUCCCUGACAUGCAAAUUGGUGAAGCAUUCCAUAUUUUUGAAAUGACAUUCUAGUAACGUGGACAAAACUUGACAUUCUGCUUAGUGAAAGAAGCCAGUCACAAAAUGACGAGUGCUCUAUGAUUCCAUGUAUAUGAGGUACCUGGACAGGUGAUGCAUAAAUACGGAAAGUUGAGCGUGAACUGGGAGGGAUCGGAGGUCAGUGUUUUGCAAGAAGAGAUGUUCUGGAGAUGUGUUGUGCAACAGCAUCAGUGUAGUUGGCCCUAUUGAACUGUGCACUCAGAAAUGGUUGAGAGCUAAUUUUACAUUAUACGUAUUUCUCCACAAUUAAAAGUUAAUUAAAAAUGAAAAAUGAAAUAAAAUAUUUUGUAAAAGUAAAGCAAAUGUAUGGUGUCAAAAGAAUGCAUACAUGAGAGUACAGCUAUUUUUUUUUUAAAGCAAGAAAUUGUCACAAAAGUGAUAAGUAUGAUUACAUCUGGGGAGUAAAGUAGGAGAUCUGAUCAGCAAGGCAAAACAGUGAAUUUAUAAGGUACUGUUUCUUAACCUGGUUUGAGGUGCUUCCUUUGUAAUUAUUUCUCAAAUGGAAUAUACAUAUUUUAUGUGUAUACAAAUUAAGUGAAAUAAAAUUGGUAUAAAAGAGGAAAAAAUCAGUUAAUAUAAUUCAUGACAUAAAUCAACC